AAGGCUAUACUUUCAGGGAUCGUUUCUAUAGUUCAUUGCUAGAGAAGUUUCUCUGAUCGUGUAGAGUACAAGAAAUAGGAGAAAUAGCAGA
ensembl:snoRNA U3 Small nucleolar RNA U3